rnacentral:rRNA from 1 species
CCUACGGGGGGCAGCAGUGGGGAAUAUUGGACAAUGGGCGAAAGCCUGAUCCAGCCAUGCCGCGUGUGUGAAGAAGGCCUUCGGGUUGUAAAGCACUUUCAGUGGGGAAGAAAGCCUUGGGGCUAAUACCCUCGAGGAAGGACAUCACCCACAGAAGAAGCACCGGCUAACUCCGUGCCAGCAGCCGCGGUAAUACGGAGGGUGCGAGCGUUAAUCGGAAUUACAGGGCGUAAAGCGCGCGUAGGCGGUCUGAUAAGCCGGUUGUGAAAGCCCCGGGCUCAACCUGGGAACGGCAUCCGGAACUGUCAGGCUAGAGUGCAGUAGAGGAAGGUAGAAUUCCCGGUGUAGCGGUGAAAUGCGUAGAGAUCGGGAGGAAUACCAGUGGCGAAGGCGGCCUUCUGGACUGACACUGACGCUGAGGUGCGAAAGCGUGGGUAGCAAACAGGAUUAGAUACCCUAGUAGUC